UCAUUCAAUCUUAUAUCAGUUAGGACUUAGGAUAUCCAAUGCAGAGGUCAGAAAGAAAACCGAAUUCAUCACAUAACAAACGUUAUACACACGAAAACUACCGAGGGAAAGAAUCCCUUUUCAAUUUUCAUGGGGGAAUCCUGGCCUGUUGUAACAAUCAAAACAUAUAUGAGCAUGAAAUGAAAAGCCUUCCUUGGCUGUAAACAAUAACAUGACAAUAGUCACAAUACCACUUAUUAUGCUGUCACCUCCUGCUGGAAUUUUGUAAUGAUUUCGGGGAUCCCUCGAAGAGAUCCAAGAGGUAAUUUUGCAAAUCGUCCGCACUGUACUUGAUGAGCUUGUCACUUAUGUCGUUUGAAUGUCUUCCCACGAAUGUCCUAUAAGCUUGGAUUACAUUCAGGGAUGCUGAGAUUUGCACAUCUUCUCGAAGCUGAGGAUCUGGAAUGAACCAUGUUGUUUGGCUCUUGUAGAUCUCUUCGAACACAAGAUGCGGAGCCUUUCCUUGAGGGUUUUUGAGAUAGAAUUUGAACCGGGAUUCUGAAUGCCUCCUCUUUGAGCAAAUUAAGGAUGGAACUCCAACUAGAUCUCUGGUAAUGCUUGCUGUUGAACUUUCCCGUUGCACUUCCGAAGCCAGCCGUCUCCGAAACUGGGCCUCAGUUCAUCCCCCUUAACCUUCUGAGCCAUGUACCAUAGAUUGUUCAUCAAAAAUACGUGGUGCAAGGAAGGAUCCUUAUAUAACCUGGACUUUUCGUCAAGGUUGCCUUCCAGAGUUGAAGUGAUCGGAAGUGGCGAACCAUUGGGAAAAUUCUGCCUGGAGAAUCAGUGGGAUUGUUCUCCUCGUCUGAGGUAGGACUUGUGUCAGGCAACAGCGAAAUGGAAUCAGCAUCAGCACUGUCCUCAAAGAGAAAAUUAAGGGUCUCUCCAUAGUCUGUGAGAAUCCUCAAGUAAUUCAUCACAUAUUUGGUGAGAGGAUGUAUUCCUCCUCCAGCAACAGGGUUACUAAAUGUUGCCUUCACAGACUCACCCAAUUUCAUCAGAACCUCAUGAGAUUCAAUUCUUACAGAAGUAUCCCAUUAGAGGUUUCCUCUGAAGAGAUUUGGAGUUGAACUGAAAAUUAUACUUUCCAAGAGAGCUACUCCAUGCUACCUUAUUUAAUAGUACGAGGACCUAACUACAACUCCCCAGCUCAAAUAAAUUACUAACUUUAAAUUUUAUUAGCAACAGAUAUAUCCUUAUUUUUUACUUGCAUCACCUAGCAUCAUGUGAAUUCAGAACUUAUCCAAUUAGCUUAACUCUUGUUGGUUUCUUAGCCCCAGUUUGGAUUCAGAACUUCAAUACGGGAUUUAAUGGUAUACAGGAUGUACAAAUCCCAAAUCUUUCAAGUAUCUCAUUUGGCAACUCUGAAACUGAAUUUCCUGAGUUCAAUUUACGCCUAACAAGGUGUAGUUCAGAAAACCCCGCUAACGAAUGGAAAUCGAUGUUUCUUUUUCUCAAAGUUUACUUCAGUUUGUUUUAAGAUGGAACAAGUAAAUUACAAAUCUGCAGUGAAACCCUAUCAUUAACCAAGCUGAUAACUUUCUAACUUCCGCUGUUCCAAUCCCGUCAUUUAUUACCAUUCUCUCAGUUCACUUUUAUCCAUUCUCUCAGCAUUACUUUCUAUUUCACGUUGCUUGCAAUUGCAUAACAUACAGCAUUUUAUCAGAAAACUUAUGCACACAAUUCACACAACAAAUUGCAAAUUGAAUCCGAAAAAUUGGAGAUACACACCGCGGAAAUGUUCUUGGCAAGAAGGAACUUUUCAAGCCACAUCCGAACCAGCUCAUUCUUGAUAAGGAAAUCGAGAGGCUCCGAUUCCCAAUAAGGGUUUACUGAUCACAAUCACCAAUCAAAGCUUUAGAACACCAAAAAGUAAAACCCUUUUUUUAGAGACUCAAUCGCGGAGGGAAAAACACGUGUAAGCGCAUGAGAGGCUACCUGAUGUAAUGAGGUUGUUGACGACGGUGGAGAGGCCGAAGCGGGUGAGACUGGCGGGGAUGGAAAUGGAGGAUUCUGGAACUUUGUAGGGGUGGCCGAGGUCCGUUUUGAAGCUGACGAGGACCAACAGCGACGGCUCUUCGGAAUUUCCGUCGGCGUCCACCGCUUUGCUUCUGGCGGAAGAGAUUGUAGAGAGAGAAAGAGGAGGAGGAGAGAGAGAGAGAGAGAGAGAGAGAGAGAGGUGGAGGUGGUAGCAAGCUAGCGGCAGGGUUUAAGACAAAAGCGAGGGAAGGAAAACUAGGGUUUAGUAACUGAAAGUAACAAGAGCCCUUCGCAACGCACCGUUUUGGUUAAGAGAGAAAAUUAUUUUUCCAAUAUUUAGUGGAUUUUUGAACCGAUAAUUGUUUAGUUCUUUAAAAUAGAUGGUAGUAAUUUAGUAAAUAAGAAGACAAGUAAUAUAUUAGCUAGAGCAAUGUUUUGUUCCUGCAACAAGCUCCAAUCUUCUCUGGUUGUUUAAAUUAAUUUAAAGUACAAUGUUAUUUGGACCUAAAUUUACACAAUCGACCCGUGCAAUCAAGGUUGUUGAGUAAGCAUAGUUCUCAAUCGCCAGAUGGAAAAGUGAAGAUAUUUUUGUUAUUGUUAAAAGAUAAUAUUAUGGUUUUUGUCAUAGUAAUUAUUUUUUAAUUUGAAUUAUCUUAGCAUUAUAUCUUCGAACAAGUACAGUUUGAGUGAACUUGGGAUUACUGCUAUCAGAUUGGAGAAACUUGGUAGAUGAGGUUUGAAAAGUCAUGGUGCAUGCACGGAUGGUUAUGGAGAAGCCUAGAUAGGCUUGGCUUUUGGUGGUGAUGUGAUAAGUCUAAGCUUUAAUAGUCUUGGAUAAUGAUGACAAGCCUAGGUAGGCUAGGCUAUGAUGAUAAGACUUUUAUUUGAAUAGGUUUUUAUGAGGUUUGGAAAAUCGUGAACAUCUAUAUGAAGGAUAUGCCUUGGUCUCUGAUGCGGAUUAAUUUCAAUUACGCGGAAAAGAAUUGCAUUGGACUCUACAAGCACCAUCAGGCUGUGCCAGGUAGAUAUCUAAUGCUAUAAAUACAUGAAGGCUGUGCAGCAUUCAGGGACCUCCAACUCAACACACAAACUGCCCUGCGCAAACCCUCGCUUUCGCGAAACCUCUCAACAACUUUGAGAUUUUUAUUUUCCUUUCCCGUCAACACAUCUUUAGUUUGGAUAAACAGCACUGUGAAGGCAACCGGUGAACAUCUUUAGUUUGGAUAAACAACACUGUUUCCGUAGAAUCAGUCGAUCGCGGAGCACCUUCAGUUUGGAUAAACAGCACUGCGUCGAGGCCGACUAGUUAUCUAUCCAAGUCUCGGUCGAGAAGGAUUUUCGAAUCCUUAUUGGCAGAGGUCAUCUCAUUAGCCUUCUCGGCGAAGUGAGGUGUUACAAGUUACUACGUUCGGCACAUUGAAAGCCGAAUUUGAUAUUGAACUUCGCAGAACUAGCAGUCUUGUCUUCACGCUCUAGAACCCGAAGGCCGAUAGUGUUCCUUCCUCGACCGCAGUCUCAAGAUCUAGAAGUCGGUUGCGCGCUUAACGCAACAUCAACAUAUUUUACUCCUCGGCCGAGCUCGGCCGACGAGUUGGCACGCCCCGCAUACAACAGAAGGACGUAGUUAGCUUAUUAGUUACUCGGUCUGCACGCCACGUAGGCUCGGUAGUUUUUAGGGUCAACAAAUGUGAAUAAACAUUUAAAGCUUAAAACACACCAAUGUUCUAAAUGAAACCUGAAUUAUCCGAAUAUCGGAAGUAGAAAUAAAUUUGACUAUGGAUUUGAGCCAUAGCACAUGGUUUUAAAAAAUUGUACCGUUUUCCCGAUCUAUAUAAAGUAGGUUUACCGAAUGAUAUAUAGGUCCAGCUACAAUAGCGCGUAUUAUUCAAUAGUAUAUGUUUUACGCAAGAUCUAACUGUUACAAAAAUUUAUUGUUCUUUUAGAUUCAUAUAUGCAAGAUCUAACUAUUAAUUUUUCGGAUCACUCAAUCAUACGCACCACAUAACAAACAUUGCAAUUUUUCUUUCAUAUUAUGUUAGAAGUGUGAAGAAAAAAUAAGAUUGCAAGUAUCUGCAAGUAUGUUGAUAUUUUACUGAGCGAAAGAUGCAAACCAAUAUUUUUUGUAUUUUUCAAUAGAAAUGAUAUUAGUUAAGGGAAAUUCGAACACAAGACUCGUAUACCGAACUAUUUAAUCGUAAUUAUUUUUUGUCUCUAAUAUUCAUAAAUUUUUUUGGCUAGUUGUUCAAUCUCUUAUUCAAAUUCACAUUAUAUAAACAAAUAUGAUAAAUGUUAAGUCCUAGAACUACAACCACAACUAUAAAAAUAAGUACAACAACAACAACGAAGCCUAAUGGGGUCGGCUGUAUGAACUAUAUAACAUCAUUACGCUUGGUUUUGCGCUAAAUCUUCCUUUAGCUCACAACUAUAAAAGGAAGUGUUUAAAGAAAAACUUAGUAUUGCUAAGAAGAAGAACGGGCCUCUUAGCAGGGAGUAAGUCCUAUAAUUCUGCCACAGAGGACCAGAGGUGGGAUUCUCUCAGCAACGACCGUUCCGAGCAAACCCUGCAAUUAGUUUUGCAAUGGAGGCAGGAUUAUCAACGUGAGGGAGAUGACCGCUAUCCGGUAUUAGCCGCAUGAUUGCAGACGAAAGCUCACAACGCAGCCUCUGCAUUUUGAUUACAACAAGAAGAAGACUCAUUAAGGAAUGCAUAUAUGUUGACAUCUAGCAUGUGUUCCUAUUUCUACUUUAUAGCAACCGGCAAUGUCAGUGGUCGCACAAUAUAUUUCGCCUCAAGUUUUCCAAAACGCUUCAAACAGGCCUAUCAAGUAUUUGCAACGAUUUUGAAGUAGGGUAUGCAAUCUCUCGUGCAUUUUUUAAGAUUAAAAGAAUAAAUUAAGUCCUCUAUCUUAAAAUGAUUGCGAAACAUGCUUGGUUUAAGUACGACCGGAAAAGUUAAGUAGCAGGUAGGAGCUCAAAACUCACCAAUAUUUGUUUGUAGCUGAUAAUAUUGUCUUGCUCGCUGCAAAUCACUAGUACUUUCUGCUUCACCUGUAAAAUAAGGUUUCAGAAUACAAGCUUACUAUUGCCUACCCGACUUGCGGAAUUCUGCAUACCACUUAUAUACCAUACUCAUUAAGAUGGGGAGAUUUUACCUGUUUUAUUUGGGAAACGACAUUAUAGCCUCCGCUACUCAUAAAACUGACUGUUGCAUCUUUCCACCAAGGCAGCAGACAGUGUAAGCGUCCGACCUAAAUAUGGCACGAUCUCUGUUAGCUUUCCAUUACACAUACUUCAAAAAUCUAAGAUAAAGAUGCCAAGAUAAAAAUUUCGACAAUAUACUAGAUGCCUGUUUCAGUUGGAACUUGAGUAUAUUAACAGAAAGAUUAUCUUACAUUAGUCCAAUCAAAGGUUGUAGCUAAUGAAAUGUCGUUGAAGGCCAGCAUAUUUGCGUAGAAGCGUAGAGGGGUGCUCUUCAAUAAAGAAACCUGGUGAAUAAAAAGAUCAGAAAUUAGGCAAGCAAGCUAAGAGAAUUCACAUAGGGUUGAAAUAUCGUUGUAAGGGGACACUAACCCCAGCGUAGGUCGCAGCUUUAGGUAACUUUGCCAUGUAUCCGGUGCCUUCUGCGUAGACGCUUGCAUUGAUUAAAACCAGCUUUUCAACCUGAAAAUAGAAAACAAGAAUUAAAUUUAUGAAAUGGACACUACAUAAUUUCUGAAACAACGCAUCUAGAGCGAAGGAGCUCAAUAUGAUAGACACUCACAGCUACUGGAUAGUGGUAUGCAAAGUCAAUUGCAACAGAACCACCUAGGCUUGGUCCAACUAAUACCAUCGGUCUUCUGAUGUAGGACUUCCAAAACUAUAAUUCGAAUGUGAAAUCCAGUUAUAUCUCCGAGCUCAAACAAUAAGAUUAGAUUCGAAUUUUCUCAACAGAUGAUGAAAAAUGUAGACCAUUUUCGACUUAAAGUAAUUAACAUAACAAAAUAUCAAAACCAUUGCAGAUAGACCGAAACAAUAUUCACUGGAGCAACAAAAGAAUAAAGAAAAGAAUAUCACACUGCAUAUAUACCUGAUAGAGGUGAUGCCGCUUGGUUGCCGCGCUGCAUGGUGGACACCUUUCUAGUACAGAUAACAUAUAACAAAUGACAGAUAACAAAUGAUUAAACGGAUGAACAUUAAGCACUUGUUGCAAGAAAGAGACUGGAAGUAUAUAAUCAUAUCCAGCCGGAAAAAAUAAAAAAAUAAAACAAUGAGGAAAACGCAGGUAAACGAACCUAAAUCAGAGAAGCCCCACCCAAGAACAUCAACAGCCCAAGCCUCCAACCCGGCCUCUUCAAGCAGGGGGUACACGCACCUCCAUUCGAAACAAGAACUAAAAGACACAAACAUGACGAAACAUGUUCAGCACUAAAUCACCUUGUAACGGGUCAAUCUGCAAUUUGCAAGCAUUACAAACCUGUCAAAGCAAUGGAGGAGAACCACCGGAUUGAUCUCACUUUGUUUUAGAGGCCUUACACAACUACUCAUGAUACAACUUUCCGACAACCCAAUCUGUAAUCACAACCGGCUUGCCCCAUUAGUCACACUAUGUUAGCAGGGGUAAUACCCCUACAUUAAAGAGAGAAAUGAGAAAUUAUUCUAAGUCAAUGAGUAACUUCAAAGUGGACGAGAAAAUUGAGAAUCAUCUGUUCAUCACAUGCCACGUGCCACAUACAGUUUCAAUGAAUAUUUCAACUCAAUUACAUAUUGAAAAUCCUAGUUUCGUCACUGAGCGCAACUAAAGUUUUAUUAAACAAAAACUUGGAAAAAUUAGUACAUUUAGCUUGAUUAUUUUGUAUUCACAAAAAAUAGUUUCAUGCAAAGAAUAUUCCCACCAUAUGGAAAUGACUAUUAUCACCUUGUAUCGAUCACUCCAAAGUUGAGUGAGUUCACUGUUCACCAUCCCACAAAAGGCAAAAAGUACUUAUUCCUUUCAUUGAAUCACGACAAAUAAUCAAGUAAAAACAAAAAUGCACUUAUUCAACCACUUCCCAGUUUUGGCUGCAAGCUCAAGUACUUCCCAGCUUUUGAGUCAGAUGUUCUUGAAGAAGAUGAUGAAAAUGAAAAAAAACAGGGAAUCCCUUUAAUCGGUAGAAAAUUAAUUUUCGCAUAUUCAUUUUCUUUUUAAAACUUCUCGAGAAGUACACAAAAACAAAAAUAAUAAUAGCAUGCGAAAAUCAUCUUAGGAAUAAGCCCAAGUACUUCAUGAAAAAAUGUACAUCAUAAUUAGUGGCAUUAAGCAUACAUGUGUUAUAACUUAUAUGUGGAUUAGACCAGUUUAAGAGCUCAUCAAACUCCCUUUAGUUCUAAAUUAGUAAAUUAAAGUAAUUUAAACUCGUAAAUAAACGAAAUUAGUCAGAUUAACAAAAAUGAGAACGAGAUUAGUGGGUUACCGACACAGGGAGCCUCUCCAUCCUCUGAGCCAACUUUCUGGCAUAUGGGUCCUUAAUUUUCUCAACCUCCUUUGGAAGGAACGAUGGGAACCCAUUAUUUGUACCUGCACCCCUCAUAUUGAUCACCACACUCCUAGAGCUUCCAUCUUUCUUUGCCAUUAACGUACCCACCAUCGCUUCCGGCGGUGGCGACGGUGGUGCAGAACACCACAUUAGCGGCAUCAUUCUGAUUCUUCCGUUGAUCUGGCAGCAGCAGAAUGCCGUGCGGAUUGUGCAGCUGGUUUUUGCUUUCCACUGGAAGUGAAAAACUAGAGAGAGAGAGAGAGUGUGUGUGCUGCCAAAUAGAAAAACAAAACAAAACAGAAAGGAGAGGGGAUUUCUACUUGGAUUGCUUAGGGCGUGACAGCACAGUAAGGUGCUCAGAAAAUUUUCAACUUUUACAGCCGUCGUUUCGUUGAACGGCUUGUAUCAAUUUAAGAAGAGCAACUAACAUUAAACACAUUCACUGUUACGUCUCAUCUUGAUUUACACACUUGAUGGCGAACUCGUCUAAAUUUACCUUACGUGCAAACCUCCGACAACUCGAUGAUAAAAGUGAAUUUAGGUAGAAAAGGGGUAUCAGAUGUCAAAUUUUGAGAUGGGCUAAGUCUUCAUACUAUAUAUGCUAUGUGUGCGAGAGCAGCAACUCGUAUAAGGCAACUAACUCAAUCGCAUGACAUUAACAUGGAUUAGAUGAUCAACUAAAUAUAGAGAAUCUUGCUAUAUUGUAAGGGGUGUCGGACGAGAAAUUUUUCUCAGUCACUGGUAUUCAAACGGAUACUCUACGUUGAGAAGUUCGAGUUCUGAUCUGUGCAUAGGCGGUGAUCAUAGAAGGGUCGAUCAGAGGACUUGACAUCUUCUUCAAUGGUGUAAAGAGGAGGAGUUCCGUGGGAAGAGGAAAAUUAAAAAAAAAAAGAAAGAAAAGAAGAAGAUUGAAUGGAUUAUCCUGAACCCGCCUCCGGCAUUAUCGCACAAACCAUUUAUGAUGACCGCGUCUAGGUGGAUUGUGGUGUGUCAUAAAUAAGUGGAGGGGCAAAAAAAAAAAAAAAAAGUUGUCCCUGUAACGAAGUUGAAUCUUGUACAGACUUGAUAUGUUAAUUUUAGUUUAAUUUAGUUUAGUUUUAGUUUAGUUUGAAAUGCAAAUUUUGAGCUACUACUGAUAUUUCCGGUUGCAUUGGCAUAAAAGUCGCAUUGGUGUUGAUGGUUGAAUAUUAAGGGAGUUGCUUGUCGACUACCUAACACACUCUUCCUCCUCUUUUAUCCGGGCUUAGGACCGGCAGUGUAAAAUAAACUUAUACAAGCAAAGUUAAGACACAGUACACAACUAACCUUGUAUUUUUUCACAUAAACCUUCACUUUUCGGUUAUUUAGCUGUUAGUUUUUGCUGUGCGAGAAAAGUAAAGGUUUAUGUAAAAAUUUCUUUGGAGAUUCAGCUUUGCCCCGACCAAGCUCACAGGUCAUCAAUAAAAUCAUUCAUACAAAGGUCCAGUCCCUCUCGUAUGAUGGGUACAACCGAUCUCUCGCGGGUUCUACUACCGGUCAUGUGUCAAAUACAGUUGGCAGACACAAAGAAUUUCUCCAUUUAAAGAGACAAAUAAAGGAACGACUAAAUCAAGUAGUUGGAAAAUAAAUGAGGUUGAAGAAGUGAGAAAAACAGAAAACAAUUGAUUUUUGCUGCAAUGGUGCAAAAUACUCUUUCAAUGUCACUUGUAUUUGUAAUUUGAAUGGGGUUCUUGGGAGGCAUGACUCAGCCCUUAGGACUUCUUCUCAGCCACAAAAAUCAGACAGAGUAGCUCUCCGUUUAUAUCUCCAACCACCACUAGGGACCUAACAUUACAUUACAGGACAUUGAUGGCAUUUCCUAACAAAAGCAAACUUCUCCAGGGACCUACAGGUAAUAAAAGUUAGCAGUCCGGUCCUUGAGUCCUUGUCAAAUGUGAACUGGAAAAUUCUGUUAACCUGGACUGGACCUAAAAAACAGAAACACAAUGUACUUGUGACUCCAUUUUGACCUAGUCUUGCUGAACAAUCUUACUGCGACUUGGACAUCAACUUCGAGAGGAAAAUGCGGAUGCAGCGGAUAAUAUAUCCACGUAUGUAUAUCUUGCUCACGUGACAUCCUUUAUUUUGUUUGUGAGUGAAGUGAUUGCUCAAAUAAAUUAGCCUUUCAAGCCUUUUUGAAGAAUUUUUCGUGCAACCAGUGAUUACCGUAUGUCUGUCUCAAGCGUCACUUGACCUUAUGAUGAAUCACCAGUAACAAGAGAUGAAACUUUGAGUUGGUAUGGACUACUGGGGCCAAAUCUACUCACAUGGUAUCAUAGUCUUGAGUUUGCUGCAACAGCUGAGGCAUAGAACUUUAUGACAGAAUCACCACCCAAUUUUGACAAACUUGAAGAGAAACAUAUUCGGCAAAAGCACAUAAAGUUGCAUACGAAAAUCUGCUUCGCUCAAUCUUAUAUCAGUUAGGACAGCCAAAGCAGAGGUCAGAAAAAUAAACCGAAUUCAUCACAUUAAAAAUGAUACACACGCGAAAACUUGCUUCAUUCAAUCUUAUAUCAGUUAGGAUAUCCAAUGCAGAGGUCAGAAAAGUGAACUGAAUUCAUCACAUUACAAACGUUACACACACGAAAACUACCGAGGGAAAGAAUCCCUUUUCAAUUUUCAUGGGGGAAUCCUGGCCAGUUGUAACAAUCAAAACAUAUAUGAGCAUGAAAUGAAAAGCCUUCCUCUGCUGUAAAUAAUAACAUGACAAUAGUCACAAUACCACUUAUUAUGCUGUCACCUCCUGCUGGAAUUUUGUAAUGAUUUCGGGGAUCCCUCAAGGAGAUCCAAGAGGUAAUUCUGCAAAUCGUCCGCACUGUACUUGAUGAGCUUGUCACUUAUGUCGUAUGAAUGUCUUCCCACAAAUGUCCUAUAAGCUUGGAUUACAUUCAGGGAUGCUGAGAUUUGCACAUCUUCUCGAAGCUGAGGAUCCGGAAUGAACC
rnacentral:lncRNA from 1 species